CAUGCAUCGCUUGUUAUAAUAACUCUUGUCAUUAUGCUACAUUAUAUACGUGGGCCUGAUAUAAUCACACAAGCUCCUUAAGAACAUAGGGUGUUGGACAGCUGGUAACAGGAAAGGAAGUCAGAGAUCUGAAGCAGAUUCUAUGUACCAUUGCUGGCUUGUAGAUAAGGAGGGACAUGUGGAAAAGACCUGAAAGUGGCCUCUGGGAGCUGAGCGGCAACAAGGCAAUGAGCACCUGCGUCCUACAAUCAUUAAGAACUGCAUUCUGCCAAGAAACUGGGUCCUGGGGACACAGAAUACAUAAAUUUUGGUUAACAAAAAGAAAAGGAAAAAAAAUGCAAAGACAAAGGAGAAAAGCGUAUAAUGAGGAUCCUGGGAAGACAAGGUCAUGAACAAGCUAGACACGCCUUGUGUGCUCAGGGGAGGAGUAACAUCACCAGUACAGAGAAUGAAAACAUUGUAAUGGAAUAUCUGAGGACCUAAUUCAAUUUUACCAGCUUACUUUCCUUUGGACCAAGAUAAUUAUAAAAUUCCUGUGCAUUCUCCACAACAAUUUUGAUCCUUUUUUGUCUAACUCAGUGAUCUCCAAAUUGGGAUCAUACACUCAGAUAAGCAAGAAGAGAUGCUGAACUUUCACUGUUUUCCUGAACAAUGGAGAAAUUAUCUCCCUUCGUGAAAUGUUACUUUCUGAGUACCCAUCUCUAAUGGCACAACCUGCAAUUCCUGAAGAUGUUCAAAUGAAUUCAGCGAGAGCUGUGGAUGAGAGUUCCCUUGGAGUCUGAAUGCUGUUAGUCCCAAGAGCCAGUCCUCAUCUCUUCAACAUGUUUGUAAUUGAGCCAUUGAGAAUUGUUUCACUUGUUAUCUACUAGACACAGAAAGAUAAGAGAGAAAAAAAGAGAAAAAAAAUCACGUAAUGAAACUCUAUGUGCUCUAAUUGAUUUGCUUCAGAGUUUGCUAUGUCUGGCACAUGUUCUUCAGAUAAUGUGUGUGUAUCUGUAUGUGUGUGUGUGCAAUUACUGUCAUUUUCAGCUUUUAUUUAAAAUGAAAUAAUGGAAAAUACCCUAUUUUUGGUUUUAUUUAUUUAUUUAUUUAUUUUUGAGAUGGAGUCUCACUAUGUUGCCCAGGCUGGAGUGCAGUGGCACGGUCUCAACUCACUGCAACCUCCACCUUCUGGGUUCAAGUGAUCUCCUGCCUCAGCCUCCCGAGUAGCUGGGACUACAGGCAUGUGCCACGACACUGGGCUAAUUUCUUGUAUUUUUAGUAGAGACAGGGUUUCAUCAUGUUGGCCAGGCUGGUCUCAAACUCCUGACCUCAGGUGAUCUGCCUGCUUUGGCCUCCCAAAGUGCCAGGAUUACAGGUGUGAGCCACCAUGCCUGGCCUAUUUUGGUAUGUUUUUGAGAGAAGAAAGAGAAAAGCACACAGUCUUUCUGCUUCCUGCUUUAACAUUACUGAUAAUUUUUAAACCUAGAAAUAUUUAUGGCUAAAUUUAUAAAAUUCAGUACACUCAGCAUAAAAACACAGAUUCAAGUACCAUAACUGGAUUAUAAACUUUACAUAAUAAUGAAAAAUAAUAAUGCAUUUAGAUUUUUCACAGAAAAUUUAUUUAGGGUUCCUAUGUUUAUUUUUUGUAUGUUAGAUUAUGUUCUAAAGCAUUUAUGUAAUUAUUAAAA
rnacentral:lncRNA from 10 species